UUUUAAUCUAUUUCCUACUCUGCUGCUGCCGGAUGCUUUUGACAAAUCUUCUCUCUGCAAUGAUGUAAUUUGCUUCCUCGUGUCAGACUGCCUCUACUGCACAGAAUGAAAUUUCAUUUUGAAAAUCAAGUCUCCCACAGUUUGCUUUCAUUUUCGCUGGUCUCUCCAACGAACCUCUCACUAACGCAGGCUGAGAACGAACCUCCCAGCAUCUUCGAAGGGUGACCAAACCUCUUCCAACAUCGUCGAAGGGCCUACGAACCAAACCCAGCGUCGUCGAAGGGCAAAGUCAAUGGCACCCUUUGAAGGUCAAUAAUGGAGAUAGAAGGAAGACGACAUCAAGUACAAAUUCAGAAUGAAGCACACAAAAUAAAGUCCAAACCAUCUUUGAUAUUUUGCUGGUUUUUUGUCAAAAAUAUUGUAUAUGAUGUUGGACUUUGAUUACUGGUGGCUAUCCGCUAUAUGGCAUUGUUAUCCAAUUUCCUUAUUGAUGCCUGUAUGGCCUUGUUUUUUUAGCUUGAUGUGUGUCUCACACACAAAAGUAGUAUUUAUUCUCUUGUUCUUUUUUUUUUUUCCAUGACAAUUUCUCUUUGACGCCAAAUUCAAGAUGUAUGGAAUUUGACAAAAAUGAGAUGAGGAUUCUGCUUCUUUUA